rnacentral:rRNA from 1 species
GUCUAUGGCCAUGCUAUCCUGAACAAGCCCAAUCUUGUCUGAUCUCAGAAGCUAAGCACGGUCCGGUCUGGUUAGUAUUUAGAUGGAAGAACACCUAGGAAGACCAGGUGCUGUAGGUG